UGACGCUCAGCCCGGGGAGAGGACCCCA
rnacentral:sRNA from 1 species